GCUUCCAUGGCUUAGUUGGUUAAAGCGCCGGUCUCAUAGCACAUGUAUGAUCCAAUUGCAGAAACAUUGGAGCAAUCCGGAGGUCGCCAGUUCGAUCCUGGCUGGGAGCA
rnacentral:tRNA from 1 species